AGAGUUUGAUCCUGGCUCAGGAUGAACGCUGGCGGCGUGCCUAAUACAUGCAAGUCGAACGCUUCACUUCGGUGAAGAGUGGCGAACGGGUGAGUAAUACAUAAGUAACCUGGCAUCUACAGGGGGAUAACUGAUGGAAACGUCAGCUAAGACCGCAUAGGUGUAGAGAUCGCAUGAACUCUAUAUGAGAAGUGCUACGGGACUGGUAGAUGAUGGACUUAUGGCGCAUUAGCUUGUUGGUAGGGUAACGGCCUACCAAGGCGACGAUGCGUAGCCGACCUGAGAGGGUGACCGGCCACACUGGGACUGAGACACGGCCCAGACUCCUACGGGAGGCAGCAGUAGGGAAUUUUCGGCAAUGGGGGAAACCCUGACCGAGCAACGCCGCGUGAAGGAAGAAGUAAUUCGUUAUGUAAACUUCUGUCAUAGAGGAAGAACGGUGGAUAUAGGGAAUGAUAUCCAAGUGACGGUACUCUAUAAGAAAGCCACGGCUAACUACGUGCCAGCAGCCGCGGUAAUACGUAGGUGGCGAGCGUUAUCCGGAAUUAUUGGGCGUAAAGAGGGAGCAGGCGGCACUAAGGGUCUGUGGUGAAAGAUCGAAGCUUAACUUCGGUAAGCCAUGGAAACCGUAGAGCUAGAGUGUGUGAGAGGAUCGUGGAAUUCCAUGUGUAGCGGUGAAAUGCGUAGAUAUAUGGAGGAACACCAGUGGCGAAGGCGACGAUCUGGCGCAUAACUGACGCUCAGUCCCGAAAGCGUGGGGAGCAAAUAGGAUUAGAUACCCUAGUAGUCCACGCCGUAAACGAUGAGUACUAAGUGUUGGGGGUCAAACCUCAGUGCUGCAGUUAACGCAAUAAGUACUCCGCCUGAGUAGUACGUUCGCAAGAAUGAAACUCAAAGGAAUUGACGGGGGCCCGCACAAGCGGUGGAGCAUGUGGUUUAAUUCGAAGCAACGCGAAGAACCUUACCAGGUCUUGACAUCGAUCUAAAGGCUCCAGAGAUGGAGAGAUAGCUAUAGAGAAGACAGGUGGUGCAUGGUUGUCGUCAGCUCGUGUCGUGAGAUGUUGGGUUAAGUCCCGCAACGAGCCAACCCCUGUUGCCAGUUGCCAGCAUUAAGUUGGGGACUCUGGCGAGACUGCCGGUGACAAGCCGGAGGAAGGCGGGGAUGACGUCAAAUCAUCAUGCCCCUUAUGACCUGGGCUACACACGUGCUACAAUGGACAGAGCAGAGGGAAGCGAAGCCGCGAGGUGGAGCGAAACCCAUAAAACUGUUCUCAGUUCGGACUGCAGUCUGCAACUCGACUGCACGAAGAUGGAAUCGCUAGUAAUCGCGAAUCAGCAUGUCGCGGUGAAUACGUUCUCGGGCCUUGUACACACCGCCCGUCACACCAUGAGAGUCGGUAACACCCGAAGCCGGUGCCUAACCGCAAGGAAGGAGCUGUCUAAGGUGGGACUGAUGAUUGGGGUGAAGUCGUAACAAGGUA
rnacentral:rRNA from 1 species